UUCUAUUCUCAGCCCCAGUAAGUCUGCUGAAAUAUAUAUAUUCAAUCACUUCUUGGUAAGUUACUAUCUUAGUCAGGGUUACUGUUGUUAUGAUGAAACACCAUGAUCAAAAGCAACUUGGGAAGGAAAGGGUUUAUUUAGCUUAUGCUUUCACAUCAUUGAAGAAAGUCAGGACAGGAACUCAAACAGCAGGAACCUGGAGACAGGAGCUGAUGCAGAAUCCAUGGAGGGGAGCUGCUUACUGGCUUUCUCCCUAUGGCUUGCUCAGCCUGCUUUCUUAUAGAACCCAGGACCACCAGCCCCAGGGAUGGCUCCACCCACAAUGGGCUGAACUCUCCCUAGUCAAUCACUAAUUAAGAAAAUGUCCUACAGGCUUGCCUGCAGCUCCACUUUAUGGAGGCAUUUUCUCAAUUGAGGCUCCCUCCUCUCAGAUGAUAUUAGC
rnacentral:lncRNA from 1 species